rnacentral:rRNA from 1 species
CCUACGGGGUGCAGCAGUGAGGAAUAUUGGUCAAUGGACGAGAGUCUGAACCAGCCAAGUAGCGUGAAGGAUGACUGCCCUAUGGGUUGUAAACUUCUUUUAUAUGGGAAUAAAAUGUUCCACGUGUGGGAUUUUGUAUGUACCAUAUGAAUAAGGAUCGGCUAACUCCGUGCCAGCAGCCGCGGUAAUACGGAGGAUCCGAGCGUUAUCCGGAUUUAUUGGGUUUAAAGGGAGCGUAGGUGGAUUGUUAAGUCAGUUGUGAAAGUUUGCGGCUCAACCGUAAAAUUGCAGUUGAAACUGGCAGUCUUGAGUACAGUAGAGGUGGGCGGAAUUCGUGGUGUAGCGGUGAAAUGCUUAGAUAUCACGAAGAACUCCGAGUGCGAAGGCAGUUCACUGGACUGCAACUGACACUGAGGCUCGAAAGUGUGGGUAUCAAACAGGAUUAGAUACCCCAGUAGUC